rnacentral:lncRNA from 1 species
AUCACCUUCAUCUUCAUCAUCAUCGUCAUCAUCAUCACCAGCAUUGUCAGAAUCAUCAUCAUCAGAAUCACCAUUAAGCUUUUUGUCCCCCACGUCUUUGAUAGCACGUAACUCAUCUCUAAUAAUGGACCUAAGGUCCCUGCAUAACUGGACAUGUAAAAGUUGCAUUUCAUUUUUAAUAUCAGAUCGCAACUUUCCAAAUUCUUUCUUCAAUUCAGAAACUUUUUUCUUCAAUUCAGACACUUUCUUC